rnacentral:rRNA from 1 species
AUUGAACGCUGGCGGCAGGCCUAACACAUGCAAGUCGAACGGUAACAGAAAGCAGCUUGCUGCUUUGCUGACGAGUGGCGGACGGGUGAGUAAUGUCUGGGAAACUGCCUGAUGGAGGGGGAUAACUACUGGAAACGGUAGCUAAUACCGCAUAACGUCGCAAGACCAAAGAGGGGGACCUUCGGGCCUCUUGCCCUCGGAUGUGCCCAGAUGGGAUUAGCUUGUUGGUGUGGUAACGGCUCACCAAGGCGACGAUCCCUAGCUGGUCUGAGAGGAUGACCAGCCACACUGGAACUGAGACACGGUCCAGACUCCUACGGGAGGCAGCAGUGGGGAAUAUUGCACAAUGGGCGCAAGCCUGAUGCAGCCAUGCCGCGUGUAUGAAGAAGGCCUUCGGGUUGUAAAGUACUUUCAGCGGGGAGGAAGGGAGUAAAGUUAAUACCUUUGCUCAUUGACGUUACCCGCAGAAGAAGCACCGGCUAACUACGUG